rnacentral:rRNA from 1 species
GACGAACGCUGGCGGCGUGCUUAACACAUGCAAGUCGAACGGAAAGGCCCUGCUUUUGUGGGGUGCUCGAGUGGCGAACGGGUGAGUAACACGUGAGUAACCUGCCCUUGACUUUGGGAUAACUUCAGGAAACUGGGGCUAAUACCGGAUAGGAGCUCCUGCUGCAUGGUGGGGGUUGGAAAGUUUCGGCGGUUGGGGAUGGACUCGCGGCUUAUCAGCUUGUUGGUGGGGUAGUGGCUUACCAAGGCUUUGACGGGUAGCCGGCCUGAGAGGGUGACCGGCCACAUUGGGAAUGAGAUACGGCCCAGACUCCUACGGGAGGCAGCAGUGGGGAAUAUUGCACAAUGGGCGGAAGCCUGAUGCAGCAACGCCGCGUGCGGGAUGACGGCCUUCGGGUUGUAAACCGCUUUCGCCUGGGACGAAGCGUGAGUGACGGUAAUGGGUAAAGAAGCACCGGCUAACUACG